CUUAGGUGCAGGAUGGGCGAGCGACUGGAGCUGCAGACUAGGAGGGGAGGAAAAGACAGACAGACAGAAGUGCCUGAACUCCACAGCUUGCCUGGCAGUGCAGAGAGCAGGAACUGUGGAGUAUUGCUCUGUGAGCCUGGAAACCUCUCUGGUCUGUGCUUGACUCCAGGCCAUGGCACUGGCAGAGUUGAUGGAGCUUCUCAGCUGGAUCCUGGUUAUGAGCCUUGGGCUGUCCCAGAGGUGACUGAGGAAGAAGGAGAUCACAACAUGCCAUGGAAGCUCCUCCCCUGUGUUUGACUCCCUGUUUGGUUCCUGCAGUCCAUGGUGAUCAAGCCUCUUGGUGUAAUCCUGUUCCUGAGCCUGGGGGCAAUCCCAGGGGUGGAGGAUGGGCAAGCGGCUGGGGCUACAGAAGAGAAAGGGAGGACAGAAACACAGAGACAGAGUUGCCUGAACUCCACAACUUGCCUGGCAGUGCAGAGAGCGGGAACUGUG